ACUAAAGUGAGUAGCAUUAUAAGGCCUUAGAAGUACAGCAAGUUUCUGCAGUUUUUUUUAUGUUGCACACAAGCACUAAAUGUCACAUAAAUCAUACACACACCACACAUCAUGUGUGCACACACGCACUACUUAGGGCUUGUCUGGACUUGUUUGCUGGUGGGGCAAAAGUGCUUGUGUGCCCAUGCUGGCAAUAGGGGGCAGUGUAGGCAGUGAUUUGUACAGUGUGUUGUAGCUGAGGUUGGAGGGUGGAGCUGUGGGGGUUGGCGGGAGAAAGCAGCUUCAGAGUGUCUCUCCCUCCCUGCCCUGUUUACUCCUUUUUGCACCACUCGAAAAAAAAACACCUUCGGAGAGACACUCCCUCAUAGCAAAUGAGUGAUGGCCAAGUGCCAGCCCGCAUUUACCACUUUUACCUUUUACCGCUGUGGAAUGUGAAUUACAACUCAACAUUGGGGAGACCGCAUCUCAGGCAUGAUAUGGACCAGAACGUACAGCUGGAAGGAAAAGCAGUUCACCUGUGAAGAGGAUGAGAUGAGGGCCUUGCUUGUCUCCUGUAAAAAAGAAACUGCAGAGUGGAAGAAAGAACAAUGUGAGCUGGGCAGACAUACAAUAACCAUGUGUCAAGCUGCAUGGAGAACAUUGUGGCUGUUCUCCCAAGAACCUCCUGGCUUUCACACAGAGCUGAGGAAAUUAAUGGACCUUGUUUACUGGUGUGUAUGUGGGUCUGAAGGGAGAGAUUUCUGAAGGGGAGAGAUGCUGUCCUUAUUUCAUCUUCAUUUUACUCUACCACACCAAAGUUAAUUAUUUUCCAAUAACAGCACAUCCUGAAAUGUCUUAUUCCUCUUAUACUACAUAAAUAAUUGUUUGCCAACAAUUAUAUUUUUUAUUAAUUAAAAAAUGUGAUACUUUUUUAUUCAUAUACAGUUAUAUUUAAUAUUGUGGAAUGUCUGCAAAACAAGUUAGUUCCUAUUAUCACUUAUGUUACAACAGAGAUAAACAGUCAUUCCUCACCAGCCUGUCUCUCUCUCUCUUUUUUUUUUUUAAGCUUGUCAUGUUAUUGAUAAACCACAAAGUCCUGCGUCCUGAAGACUUUCCCAUGCUGGGAACAGGUUUACCUCUUACUGUUACAAAGCACUGACACUGUAGAUUCCUUCCAUAAAUGCUAAACAAAUAUCUCAUCACAGAUUUAUUUAUGGGGAAUAUCCACCAUACAAGUCCCUGUGUAAGUACUUACUAUAGUACUAAUAGCAUUUUAGAACAACUACAUUAAUAUAAAUGAAUGUGAUUUGUCUUCUGAAGCAAUGUCAGAGCUGCUGUUAUAGAAAAUUAAUCAGCACUAAUUAGAUUCAAGAAUUUGACACCACAGUGUUAGAAAGAAUUGUCCUCUGGAUGAAUGGCCUCCAUUUCUGAAUCACUCGAAUUUCCAGAGAGCUUUCUUUUUUUUCGAAAUUGAUUUUAGGCUUUUUCUCCUCUUGUCACUGCACUGUGCUACUGUGCUUAUGUCCAUAAUCAGUGCUUCAUAGGAUAAACAUGUAAUCAAGAUGACAUCAUAGUUUCUGUAUUUGUGUCCUAAUUUUAGGCUUGAAGUCCCCUUUCUCUGGUGUGAUGUGGUUUAGUUUAAGUGUGAGCUUAAGUCCACAGCUUUAACAAUGUUCAUUAACUACCCACUUUAGACCAAAGCUUUGGGUAUUUGGUAACUAUCAAUCAAUUCUACCAAUAUUAUUUCUACUUUCCAGUACAAUGAUUGAUUUGAAAUCAUCUGUAGGUUGUAGAAAAGGUGGAAUUUCUCAGAACUGUGCUGGCCACAUCUAGCUCCUAAUGUGAAGAAGUAUUUGUGGGUUAGACUUAGAAAACAUACAUUGCUCUCUGAGGAGUCUGUGUGGAAGAAUGUAGAGGUGCAGGAGAUUUUUUAGUAGGUUUUCAAAGAGACAAAGAGUGAGUGAGAGAGAGAGAGUGAGAGAGAGAGAGAGAGCGAGAGAGAGCGAGAGAGAGAAUUGGGCACACUCUGCUGCUUGGCCUCAUUUGUGUUAUUGCAGAGGAAGCAAUCCAAGAGGUCUCAGUGCAUGCAGAAGGAGGUGGAAAGAGAUUUAACUUACCAUGUAAACUCUGAAGAAAGGGAAUCGAGAAUCUGUGUGUUCUACUGCCGAUUUCUCUGUUUGUUUAACUGAGAGGAAACCAACAGCUUAGCUCUAAUUGUGUGGUUAGUUUAUUUGUGUUACUGUGCUGCUCUUUUAUGUUUUCCAUGAACUCCUCUCCCUCUCACUAGACCACUUUGCUCGAUGUUUGCCCAUUUCGGUGCAAAAGGAAGCACAUACUGGCAAUUUGUAUUUUAAAAGAUGUAUGAAGCCACAUCAGGCAGGCCUCUCUAUCUAAAGGCUGCAGCAUGAGACUAAUAUGCUACGUCACCGUCAUGGAUCUAUAUCUCUAUUUUGAGAUUUACACAACCGUGUAUUGGGUUUGGACGGGCUCCAGGGCUCCAGGGCUCCAGGCCCUACAGCACUCAAGGCUGCACCAAUGCUCGUGGUGGAGGAGGGGCGAAAAGCGACAUG